AAAGUUAUUUAAAAAAAACCACAAGGGGGUGGAACCCCCCCCCCCCCAUCGUGAUAGAGUUAAAGACAUCUCUUGAUGUUUUUUGAGACAUUCUGUGGCUGUACGCACACAACUUUGAUUUAAUAAACGGAUUUCUUGAAUUAUAUUUUUAAUAUGAUCAUUAUAAAAGCCUGUGUGCAUCAUACACUUUUUCUUAUCUCUACAAAUACAUGUGUACUAACAUUAUUUACCAUAGUUCAGCUUUAACCCGUGUUUGUGGUCACUACUAAUUGUUAAAGCAAAUAUGGAAAUCUACUGCUUAAUCUUUUCUCUUAUUUCUGUAACAAUGGGAUUUCAUAUUGGAGAUACUGUGGAGGUUGAAGUAAAGCAUAAAAGUUGAAACGAGGAUGAAAUAUAUUUAAGUUGAAGUAAAGCAUGAAGCUAAAACUAUAAAGUUGAAACAAGGGUGAAAUAUAUUUAGGUUGAAGUAAAGCAUGGAGCUAAAACUAUAAAGUUGAAACAAGGAUGAAAUAUAUUUAAGUUGAAGUAAAGCAUGGAGCUAUAAAACUAUGAAGUUGAAACAAGGGUAAAAUAUAUUUAGGUUGGAGUAAAGCAUGGAGCUAAAACUAUGAAGUUGAAGCAAGGAUGAAAUAUAUUUAGGUUGAAGUAAAGCAUGGAGCUAAAACUAUAAAGUUUAAACAAGGAUGAAAUAUAUUUAGGUUGAAGUAAAGCAUGAAGCUAAAACUAUGGCAACUUCUAUUGGUUUGGACCAAUAUCCAGUAAAACUAGUUUGGGGGCAUGGUCUAGGCUCUAAAGAUCCAUCCACUAAAAAUAGGUUUUCUGAUCGUACAAGUAACAUUACUUUUUCAGCAAUGGAUGAUGCAAAAGCUAGAUGUAUCUGCUAUGAUGCCAGGGGGCAUGGAGAAAGUCAUGGUUGGGAGGAAACUGCUAACAAUAUGUUCCAGGUCAAUUUUUGAAGAGUAGCCAUAAAUUUGUAGUAA